AUUGAACGCUGGCGGCAGGCCUAACACAUGCAAGUCGAGCGGAUGAAGGGAGCUUGCUCCUGGAUUCAGCGGCGGACGGGUGAGUAAUGCCUAGGAAUCUGCCUGGUAGUGGGGGAUAACGUCCGGAAACGGGCGCUAAUAACGCAUACGUCCUGAGGGAGAAAGUGGGGGAUCUUCGGACCUCACGCUAUCAGAUGAGCUUAGGUCGGAUUAGCUAGUUGGUGGGGUAAAGGCCUACCAAGCCGACGAUCCGUAACUGGUCUGAGAGGAUGAUCAGUCACACUGGAACUGAGACACGGUCCAGACUCCUACGGGAGGCAGCAGUGGGGAAUAUUGGACAAUGGGCGAAAGCCUGAUCCAGCCAUGCCGCGUGUGUGAAGAAGGUCUUCGGAUUGUAAAGCACUUUAAGUUGGGAGGAAGGGCAGUAAGUUAAUACCUUGCUGUUUUGACGUUACCAACAGAAUAAGCACCGGCUAACUUCGUG
rnacentral:rRNA from 1 species